ensembl:lncRNA
CAGGCAGUGGCUCGAAUGGUUGUUGUCCUUGAUGAUCUUUAUGGCCUUCCUGUGACAUCGGGUGGUGUAGGUGUCCUGGAGGGCAGGUAGUUUGCCCCCGGUGAUGCGUUGUGCAGACCUCACUACCCUCUGGAGAGCCUUACUAUUGUGGGCGGAGCAGUUGCCAUACCAUGCGGUGAUACAGCCCGACAGGAUGCUCUCGAUUGUGCAUCUGUAGAAGUUUGUGAGUGCUUUUGGUGACAAGCCGAAUUUCUUCAGACUCCUGAGGUUGAAGAGGCGCUGCUGCGCCUUCUUCACAACGCUGUCUGUGUGGGUGGUCCAAUUCAGUUUGUCCGUGAUGUGACUGCCGAGGAACUUAAAACUUACUACCCUCUCCACUACUGUCCCGUCGAUGUGGAUAGGGGGGUGCUCCCUCUGCUGUUUCCUGAAAUCCACGAUCAUCAGCAAACAGACGUUUGACUUCAGAUUCUAGUAGGUUGAAGCCGGGUGCUGCAGACCAUUCUAGUACCCUCGCCAAUUCAUUGAUAUAUAUGUUGAAGAGGAUGGGGCUUAAGCUAAGUCCCUGUCUCACCCCACAGCCCUGUGGAAAGAAAGGUGGGUGUUUUUUUGCCAAUUUUAACCUCACACAUGUUGCUUGUGAACAUGGAUUUUAUAAUGUUGUAUAUUUUUCCCCCAACACCACUUUCCAUCAAUAUAGCAGACCCUCAUGCCAAAUUGUGUCAAACUUUUUGGAAAUCAACAAACCAUGAAAAGACUUUGCCUUUGUUUUGGCCUGUUUGUUUGCCAAUUAGGGUGUGCAACGUCAAUAAGUGGUCUGCCGUACGGUCAUUUGGUAAAAAUCCAAUUUGACAUUUGCUGAGUGCAUUGUUUUCACUGAAGAAAUGUAUGGGUCUGCUGUUAAUGAUAACGCAGAGGAUUUUCCCAAGGUUGCUGUUGACGCAAAUCCCACGGUAGAUAUUGGGGUUAAAUUUGUCUCCACUUUUAUGGAUUGGGGUGAUCAGUCUUUGGUUCAAGUAUUGGGAAAUAUGCUAGAGUUGAGGAUGGUGUUAAAGAGUUUAAGUAUAGCCAAUUGGAAUUUGUGGUCUGUAUAUUUGAUUAUUUCAUUUAGGAUGCCAUCAACCCCACAGGCCUUUUUGGGUUGGAGGGUUUGUAUUUUGUCCUGAAGUUCAUUAAAUGUAAUUGGAGAAUCCAGUGGGUCCUGGUGUCUUUAAUAGUUGAUUCUAAGUUUUGUAAUUGAUCAGGUAUAUGUUUUAAUAACUUAAUAACUCUGUGUUGUUGUUUGUUUAGAGUUAAGGGAUUUCCUCCUCUUCCGGAGAGGCGAAAAGGAUCAGAGGACCAAUAUGCGGCGUGGACCUGAGCCCUAGGACCAUGCCUCAGGACUACCUGGCAUGAUGACUCCUUGCUGUCCCCAGUCCACAUGGCCGUGCUGCUGCUCCAGUUUCAACUGUUCUGCCUGCGGCUAUGGAACCCUGACCUGUUCACCGGACGUGCUACCUGUCCCAGAGCUGCUGUUUUCAACUCUCUAGAGACAGCAGGAGCGGUAGAGAUACUCUUAAUGACCGGCUAUGAAAAGCCAACUGACAUUUACUCCUGAGGUGCUGACUUGCUGCACCCUCGACAACUACUGUGAUUAUUAUUAUUUGACCAUGCUGGUCAAUUAUGAACAUUUGAACAUCUUGGCCAUGUUCUGUUAUAAUCUCCACUCCACAGAAGAGGACUGGCUACCCUUCAGAGCCUGGUUCCUCUCAGGUUUCUUCCUAGGUUUUGGCCUUUCUAAGGAGUUUUUCCUAGCCACCGUGCUUCUACACCUGCAUUGCAUGCUGUUUGGGGAUUUAGGCUGGGUUUCUGUACAGCACUUUGAGAUAUCAGCUGACGUAAGAAAGGCUUUGUAAAUAAAUAUGAUUUGAUUUAGGUAGCACACAUGAAGACAUUUUUCUCUGUUGAGAUAGUUUCCUUAUGCAUUUCUAGCCAGAUGUAAAAUGUUCCUGUUUGGACUAAUUUAAUAAAGUGGGGUAGCUAUAUACCUAAUUAGCAUACCCCCUGAGACGCUUCCCUCUUUCACACCUGGUAGUUUGGUGGAUGGAACUACCAGCUCUCUGUAACCUUGAGGGCAACCAGUGGGUCCGUCUCCUUUAUACCAUGUUUCUUGUAUAAUGACAAUGUCUGUAUUUCCAAUUACUUUGAUGAAGUCUGGGAUCCUGCUCUUUAGGCCAAUGGCAGAUGACCUCCAACCCUGUUGUUAUCCAGUAUGAGAUAGUAAAAGCUUUGUGUUCCAUAUUGUCUAGUGUUCUUCUCUCUCUCACACACACGCACACACACUUGGUAUUGCUCUCACUCUCGCACACUCAGUAGUUCUCUCUGUCUCUCUUUCAUGCACACGUAGUUCCGCAACGGUGCCGUCUUCUUUUCUCUGGAAGGAGUCUGGAGACUAAAAAUAAAUGAUG